rnacentral:rRNA from 1 species
UACGGGGGGGGGCAAGCGUUGUUCGGAAUUACUGGGCGUAAAGGCUCGUAGGCGGCCAACUAAGUCAGACGUGAAAUCCCUCGGCUUAACCGGGGAACUGCAUCUGAUACUGGAUGGCUUGAGAUUGGGAGAGGGAUGCGGAAUUCCAGGUGUAGCGGUGAAAUGCGUAGAUAUCUGGAGGAACACCGGUGGCGAAGGCGGCAUCCUGGACCGGCAUUGACGCUGAGGAGCGAAAGCCAGGGGAGCAAACGGG